AACGAUAAAGCGGGUGAAAAGCCCGCUCGCCGGAAGACCAAGGGUUCCUGUCCAACGUUAAUCGGGGCAGGGUGAGUCGACCCCUAAGGCGAGGCCGAAAGGCGUAGUCGAUGGGAAACAGGUUAAUAUUCCUGUACUUGGUGUUACUGCGAAGGGGGGACGGAGAAGGCUAUGUUGGCCGGGCGACGGUUGUCCCGGUUUAAGCGUGUAGGCUGGUUUUCCAGGCAAAUCCGGAAAACCAAGGCUGAGGCGUGAUGACGAGGCACUACGGUGCUGAAGCGACAAAUGCCCUGCUUCCAGGAAAAGCCUCUAAGCAUCAGGUAACAUCAAAUCGUACCCCAAACCGACACAGGUGGUCAGGUAGAGAAUACCAAGGCGCUUGAGAGAACUCGGGUGAAGGAACUAGGCAAAAUGGUGCCGUAACUUCGGGAGAAGGCACGCUGAUAUGUAGGUGAAGCGACUUGCUCGUGGAGCUGAAAUCAGUCGAAGAUACCAGCUGGCUGCAACUGUUUAUUAAAAACACAGCACUGUGCAAACACGAAAGUGGACGUAUACGGUGUGACGCCUGCCCGGUGCCGGAAGGUUAAUUGAUGGGGUUAGCGGUAACGCGAAGCUCUUGAUCGAAGCCCCGGUAAACGGCGGCCGUAACUAUAACGGUCCUAAGGUAGCGAAAUUCCUUGUCGGGUAAGUUCCGACCUGCACGAAUGGCGUAAUGAUGGCCAGGCUGUCUCCACCCGAGACUCAGUGAAAUUGAACUCGCUGUGAAGAUGCAGUGUACCCGCGGCAAGACGGAAAGACCCCGUGAACCUUUACUAUAGCUUGACACUGAACAUUGAGCCUUGAUGUGUAGGAUAGGUGGGAGGCUUUGAAGUGUGGACGCCAGUCUGCAUGGAGCCGACCUUGAAAUACCACCCUUUAAUGUUUGAUGUUCUAACGUUGGCCCGUAAUCCGGGUUGCGGACAGUGUCUGGUGGGUAGUUUGACUGGGGCGGUCUCCUCCUAAAGAGUAACGGAGGAGCACGAAGGUUGGCUAAUCCUGGUCGGACAUCAGGAGGUUAGUGCAAUGGCAUAAGCCAGCUUGACUGCGAGCGUGACGGCGCGAGCAGGUGCGAAAGCAGGUCAUAGUGAUCCGGUGGUUCUGAAUGGAAGGGCCAUCGCUCAACGGAUAAAAGGUACUCCGGGGAUAACAGGCUGAUACCGCCCAAGAGUUCAUAUCGACGGCGGUGUUUGGCACCUCGAUGUCGGCUCAUCACAUCCUGGGGCUGAAGUAGGUCCCAAGGGUAUGGCUGUUCGCCAUUUAAAGUGGUACGCGAGCUGGGUUUAGAACGUCGUGAGACAGUUCGGUCCCUAUCUGCCGUGGGCGCUGGAGAACUGAGGGGGGCUGCUCCUAGUACGAGAGGACCGGAGUGGACGCAUCACUGGUGUUCGGGUUGUCAUGCCAAUGGCACUGCCCGGUAGCUAAAUGCGGAAGAGAUAAGUGCUGAAAGCAUCUAAGCACGAAACUUGC
rnacentral:rRNA from 1 species